AAUCGAAAACGACACUUAUUUUGUAACGAAUAAAAUUUUUUAAAACGACACUUAAUAUGAAACGGAUAGAGUAUAAGAUUUUUGAAGCCCAAGAGCAUUCCCAUCGGUGAACUUGGGGGGGCUCGAUUUCCAAGACAGUUUUAUUGAUUUUUUUGUUUUUUUUAUCUUUUUCGUUUGACUUUAAAAAAAAAUAGAGAAAUUAUGUCGUAUAUACACAUAAAACAAGAAAAUUAGCUAAAUACCCUAACACUGUUGAAAACACUGUUAUAUUUUAAAUAAUACAAAACAACCUCUGUACACCUACUCACCUAUGCUAUCUCUUAGUUUAGAUAUUGUGUCAGAGACUACCAGAAAUCAACUUCUAUUACACACCAUGUAAUUAACUAUACUAUUAUCCUAGUAAAGACUUCUACUGUGAAUGAAAAGUCGUCAUUUACAGAGUGUAUAGUUCCUUUUUUUGCAUCCGGAUGAGGUAGAGUUUCUGUGGAAUACAACAACUCAACCACCACCACCUUCUAGUUACAAAAACCAGCUUUUUCGUAUGUCCCCUUUAAAUCAUACCUACAAACUGAAUCAGAAACACUUCUUCCUCCUUCUCUUUUGAUCUAUUGUAAACCAGAUUUUUUCUAAGCUCAUAUCUCCUCGAUGAACUCUUUUCCUCUUUCUUAUUCAUGAUCCCAAUAGAUCAAUUUCAUUUACAUCUCUUAUUUUAGAAAAAAAAAAUUCGAGUCUUUUCAAUAAACAAAAUUCACUAAAACCAGGAUUUUGGAUCUAAAUAAAGUUUGCUACUUUACAGUUUGAAUCCCAAGAUUUUUGAAAGAUUCACAAGCCCAUAAAUUCCACUAGUCGAAGGUGGAAAUAUUGUCACCAGUGACGGAGUUGGCUAGCACGAUGAGGUCGAGGACAAGACUGUGGACAACAUAGUUCACCUUAUCAGCGAACAACACUUUUCUUUUGGUUCCUAACAUUGUUAUUAUUCUCUAUGUACAGUUAACAAUUCUAAUGAUUUUAUUAUCCUAUAAGUUUACAUUUAGUAAACUUUAAAUUUUACCCUAAUCUUAUAAUGCUAAUGUAAUCAAUAUAAUUACAUUAAAUGUUUUGCAUACAA